rnacentral:rRNA from 1 species
GACGAACGCUGGCGGCGUGCUUAACACAUGCAAGUCGAACGGAAAGGCCCUGCUUUUGUUGGUUUCUCGAUUGGCGAACGGGUGAGUAACACAUGAGUAACCUGCCCUUGACUUUGGGAUAACUUCAGGAAACUGGGGCUCAUACCGGGUAGGAGCUCCUGCUGCAUGGUGGGGGUUGGAAAGUUUCGGCGGUUGGGGAUGGACUCGCGGCUUAUCAGCUUGUUGGUGGGGUAGUUGCUUACCAAGGCUUUGACGGGUAGCCGGCCUGGGAGGGUGACCGGCGACCAUGGGACUGAGAUACGGACCAGUAUCCUACGGGAGGCAGCAGUGGGGAAUAUUGCACAAUGGGCGGAAGCCUGAUGCAGCAACGCCGCGUGCGGGAUGACGGCCUUCGGGUUGUAAACCGCUUUCGCAGGUGACGAAGCGUGAGUGACGGUAAUGGGUAAAGAAGCAACGGCUAACUACGUG